GAUGAACGCUGGCGGCGUGCCUAAUACAUGCAAGUCGAACGCUUUGUCUUUAAUUGAUAUGAAGAGCUUGCUCUGAUUUGAUUUUAUCUGACAAAGAGUGGCGAACGGGUGAGUAACACGUGGGUAACCUACCUCUUAGCAGGGGAUAACAUUUGGAAACAAGUGCUAAUACCGUAUAACACUAACAACCGCAUGGUUGUUAGUUGAAAGAUGGUUCUGCUAUCACUAAGAGAUGGACCCGCGGUGCAUUAGCUAGUUGGUAAGGUAAUGGCUUACCAAGGCGAUGAUGGGUAGCCGAGUUGAGAGACUGAUCGGCCACAAUGGGACUGAGACACGGCCCAUACUCCUACGGGAGGCAGCAGUAGGGAAUCUUCCACAAUGGGCGCAAGCCUGAUGGAGCAACGCCGCGUGUGUGAUGAAGGGUUUCGGCUCGUAAAACACUGUUAUAAGAGAAGAACGACAUUGAGAGUAACUGUUCAGUGUGUGACGGUAUCUUAUCAGAAAGGAACGGCUAAAUACGUG
rnacentral:rRNA from 1 species